rnacentral:rRNA from 1 species
GGCGAAGGAUGCAAGCGUUAUCCGGAUUCAUUGGGUUUAAAGGGAGCGUAGGUGGUCUUAUAAGUCAGUGGUGAAAUCUCUGGGCUUAACCCAGAAAUUGCCAUUGAUACUGUAGGACUUGAGUAUAGUUGCCGUUGGCGGAAUAUGACAUGUAGUGGUGAAAUACAUAGAGAUGUCAUAGAACACCGAUUGCGAAGGCAGCUGACGAAACUAUAACUGACACUGAGGCUCGAAAGUGCGGGGAUCAAACAGG